ensembl:lncRNA
GUUGAGGAAAAAAAAUGUUCAGAUCUCAAAAGCCAAAUCUCAUGGACCACACAACAGAUUUGGGCAGGAUCUGGUUCUUCACCCUGCCCAGGCUCUCCACAUGACAGGAGAGUGGAAGCCCAAACCCAGCUGCUGACCGUGGUCUAAGAAAGUCCCCGACCCCAGGAGGUGGAGCCCCCUCCUGCUGUUGAAGCUUGGAGACAGUUGCUUUCCCAGAAUCCCUUGCAGCUAGUUCAUAAUGGACUGGGUUGCCUGUGUUUCGGAGCCUAACAGGAGCGUCUGGAUUCCAGUCCCAUCGGGCCGCAUGGCAGUCACCCAGCAGUGCUCUGGGGUAACAUCUUGGAGGUUCGCCUGUAUUAUAUUCUGCCUUCUACCUGCCAGAGCUGCCGGGAUGUCUGGGGAGCGGGAGAGCAACGCAGACCAGAUGCCCAGGAUCCUACAGCCAGGCUCAGCCCCCAUCACCUCUGAAAGCAGUUUUUGCUCCAUUUGUUGAAUCCAGGUGUGUGACACUCCGAAUGUUAGAAGCUCGUUGUCGUUUUCUUCCGUAAGUUCAAUGUCAUGUUUUCUCCUGUUCUCCCAAAGAAAACUUUAAAAGCAAACCAUAGCUUCACGCGCGCAACAUCUUCCCACAGUGGAGUAUUACUCAGCCAUUAAAAAGAAUACAUUUGAAUCAGUUCUAGUGAGGUGGAUGAAACUGAGCUGAUUAUACAGAGUGAAGUAAGCCAGAAAGAAAAACACCAAUGCAGUAUACUAACACAUAUAUAUAGAAUUUAGAAAGAUGGUAACGAUAACCCUGUAUGUGAAACAGC